UCUCCGUUGGUGAACCAGCGGAGGGAUCAUUACCGAGUUUACAACUCCCAAACCCAAGGUGAACCAUACCAAACUGUUGCCUCGGCGGGGUCACGCCCCGGGUGCGUCGCAGCCCCGGAACCAGGCCCCCGCCGGAGGGACCAACAAAACUCUUUCAGUAGUCCCCUCGCGGAGGUUAUUUUUACAGCUCUGAGGAAAAAUUCAAAAUGAAUCAAAACUUUCAACAACGGAUCUCUUGGUUCUG
rnacentral:misc_RNA from 1 species